rnacentral:rRNA from 1 species
AUUGAACGCUGGCGGCAUGCCUUACACAUGCAAGUCGAACGGUAACAGGUCUUCGGAUGCUGACGAGUGGCGAACGGGUGAGUAAUACAUCGGAACGUGCCUAGUAGUGGGGGAUAACUACUCGAAAGAGUGGCUAAUGCCGCAUGAGAUCUACGGAUGAAAGCAGGGGAUCGCAAGACCUUGUGCUACUCGAGCAGCCGAUGGCAGAUUAGGUAGUUGGUGGGAUAAAAGCUUACCAAGCCGACGAUCUGUAGCUGGUCUGAGAGGACGAUCAGCCACACUGGGACUGAGACACGGCCCAGACUCCUACGGGAGGCAGCAGUGAGGAAUUUUGGACAAUGGGCGAAAGCCUGAUCCAGCAAUGCCGCGUGCAGGAUGAAGGCCUUCGGGUUGUAAACUGCUUUUGUACGGAACGAAAAGCCCCGGGUUAAUACCCUGGGGUCAUGACGGUACCGUAAGAAUAAGCACCGGCUAACUACGUGCCAGCCGCCGCGGUAA